rnacentral:rRNA from 1 species
GACGAACGCUGGCGGCGUGCUUAACACAUGCAAGUCGAACGGAAAGGCCCUGCUUUUGUGGGGUGCUCGAGUGGCGAACGGGUGAGUAACACGUGAGUAACCUGCCCUUGACUUUGGGAUAACUUCAGGAAACUGGGGCUAAUACCGGAUAGGAGCUCCUGCUGCAUGGUGGGGGUUGGAAAGUUUCGGCGGUUGGGGAUGGACUCGCGGCUUAUCAGCUUGUUGGUGGGGUAGUGGCUUACCAAGGCUUUGACGGGUAGCCGGCCUGAGAGGGUGACCGGCCCCAUUGGGACUUGGGUACGGCCCAGACUCCUACGGGAGGCAGCCGUGGGGAAUAUUGCACAAUGGGCGGAAGCCUGAUGCAGCAACGCCGCGUGCGGGAUGACGGCCUUCGGGUUGUAAACCGCUUUCGCCUGUGACGAAGCGUGAGUGACGGUAAUGGGUAAAGAAGCACCGGCUAACUACGUG